rnacentral:misc_RNA from 1 species
UCCGGUUUGGCACCGGCCGUUUCCCUACAUGUCAAGCCCUGGUAAGGUUCUUCGCGUCGCGUCGAAUUAAGCAACAUGCUCCGCCGCUUGUGCGGGCCCCCGUCAAUUCCUUUGAGUUUUAGCCUUGCGGCCGUACUCCCCAGGCGGGGCGCUUAAUGCGUUAGCUGCGGCACGGAAGGAGUCGAUGACCUCCCACACCUAGCGCCCAUCGUUUACGGCGUGGACUAC